rnacentral:misc_RNA from 1 species
CCGCUAGCGACUGUUAUAGCGGUAGUCACCGUAUGCGUAGUCUCACUCCUCAGACGACUCUCUCCUCAAUUGCACGAAUGGCCAGAAGUCUGGGAGGAUUUCUGGUGCUGCUCGUGGCAGUGUUGAUCUGCUCAGCUUCCGUCGCUUCCGUCGCUUCGAUCUUUCAACCAAUCUCUGACUCCCACCGAUCUGCCGCUUUGGAGCUUUUCGCGCCCCGCGAUGCGUCCUUUGGGAGUUUAGAAGAAACAUAUGAGGCCCUUCGGACAUUUGAGGUUCUUGGAAUUGAUAAAAAGCCUGACAUAAGUUUACCAGCUUGCCAGUCUGUAUUAGAAACGCUUGGGUCGUCAUCUUCAGCUUCAAAGGAUUUAUUUUAUGCUCUAAAAGUGAAUGGAAUGUUAAAAUGUGAGAUCAAUAAGGAAGUUUUUGAGGGCAUUGUUUCAAAACUUCAAGCUGCUGUCAGCAGUGCAAAUUCGUUGCUUGAUUUCUACCAUUCAAUAGGAAGUUUGGUACU